GAGCCAUGGCUUUGAUUUCAUUCCUUGGUUCUUUUGCUCUUGUGAUCUAGCCUAUCCUUGAACACCAAGUAACUGAGGUCUACACACGCUUCUCACAAGCCGUUCAGAACAGACAAUGAUUUUAGAUCAGGGCUAUGUGCAGAAGAAAGCAUGAACGGAAAUGGGUGUUAUCAGGGCAAAGCAAACCCAGAUGCCUUAACACCAUGGCAAAGAUGGAUUCUUGCCUCUUCCGUGGGCUGCGUUUCAGUAUCCAUGAGCAUCUGACACUCAAUUACACGUGAGAGCUCUGCCUUUUAUCCUCCGAUGUCCCAAGUCUGCUAAACAAAGCAUUUCUUCCCCAGUGACAGUGACGCCUGGCUACGAGCUGGAGGCUCUCUCUGCCUGGGUCUGGGAAGUCGCUCUUUCCGGAAGGGUGGUAGAGACCCUGGGAAUCGGACCAGCCCGGCUCACAAGUAUGAAGAGAAUGUCGGGAGAGGAAGUGGUGGUUCUGAGUCAGCAUGAGUCAUCUGGUUCCAGUGGCAAUGAAGGCUGAGGUGUGCGCCUUUUUCUUUUUCUUGUCUUUUUUUUUUUUUCUUAAUCAUGUGGACAACUCUGAGAAUGGAGGGGACUCAGUGACUUUACAGUGGCUGCUUUCUAAGUUUCAAAGUGACUUUCCAGGCAAGCUGAGCACGUCUUGGGAUCUUCACAGCACAGUGGCUGGGAGUGGAGCCAUUCAUCAGCUUCUCCCCGAAUAACUGGGAGCUGAAACAGGAAGCCCCAUGACACAGUUGAUCGAAAAUGACACAGACACAGAAAAAUCAGGACGUGCCCCCAGCACCUCUACCUGCUGCCUGCUGAUUGCAGCGAGAAGGCAGGUGAAGGGUUUUCCCUGGGAAUGGACUCUGGCUACGGAGGACUCUGAUCUUCAAAUAAAAUGAUGUGAAGAUUCGAAUGCUUUGGACCUAUAAUUUAGAGGUAGAAAAUCUGCAGACUCUGAAGCCAGCCCAUCUGAAUGUUAUCUUCAGAUCUGUCUAUGAGAAUCACUAUAGCUUCCACUUCCUCACUGAAUGAGUCUGCUUCAGUCCCAGCUCCAACACACACGAGCUCUACAACCUUGUCUAGUCUUCCUGGGGCCCAUGUUCCCCAUCUGUUAAAUACAUGUGUUGGUAUUUUAGCUAUUGCAUGCUGUUGGCAGAAGUUUCUGUUCCAUCUGCGAGCUCCCAAAUAACCACACAGAGACUUAUUAUUAAUUAUAGAUGCUCAGCCAAUAGCAUAGGCUGGUUACUAACUAGCUCUUAUGACUUAAAUUAGCUCAUAUUUCUUGUCUACACUCUACCACGUGGCAGUGCCUUUUUUCGGCACAGCAAGUUCAUCUUGCCUCUCUCCUUGUCCCCUGGUGACUCUGCCCUUCUUCAUCCCCAGGCUCCCUUUUUUCUUGUCCACAAGUCCUGCCUAACCUCUUCCUGCUCUCUAUUAAAUCAAUGAGAGCACACAUCUUCACAGUGUACAAAAGGAUUAUUCUACCACAGUAUAUAAAAUUCUUAAUUAUUUCAUACAGAAAACAGGAUAUACAUGUGAACCAUUGUUGCUUUUGUAAUUAUAAUUUUGCUUGAUUCCCUUUGUUCAUUGUACAAUCCUAUUUUCAAAGAAAAUAAACUCCAGUUUACUAAUAGGAGGAGAGGACUACCUAGAUCCACCUCUGACCCAUCCAGCCCUGGCCAGCACAUGCCUUCACUUAUCUUGCCUGUGCUACACACGAUUGCCCAGCUGUCUAGGUGGGCAUGUUGGAGCACACAUAUUUACCGGAUUGGUUUGGGCCACUGCACUGUCUUUCAUUGACAAGAUGUCUAUGUAAUUCCUUUUCAUUGGCACUAAUCAUGGCUCUUUUUUGUUUGUGUUAUUGUUUCUCAGAGAUAGGGUCUAAUACUAUAGCUCAGGUUGGCCUAGAACUUACUAUGCAGUCCCUGCAGACCUCAGAUCCAUGGAAAUCUUCCUGUAUCACCUUCCCAAGUGCUUGAGUUAAGUCAUGAGCCAGCCAUCGGCCCCAGCUUCUGUUCUUCUGUUGUAGUUACAAUUUUGGAAAAUAAAUAUGUUCACAUUCUAAAGUUCAAGUACAGCCCUGAACGCUUAUCUUGAAGGCUUGUUUUUUUUUUCUGUUAUUUUUUUCUUUCUUUUUUUUUUCCUAUGAGGUUUACUCUCAUGCUCACUUCCUGCCAGCCUCACACUUUGGAUCAGGAGAAAUGCUUGGAAUCUGGAAAGCUCCAUGAGGGCCAAUCAGAGCAGACCUGAUUCCCCUGAAGUUUCCUUUCCUAAAUCCAGUGAGUUUUCCCCCUCUUUCCUGAAGUUCUAGGAUUUCUAUGGAAAGAAAAAUAAAUCUUCUUCAUUCUGCAUAGGCCCCUUUGGGUUCAAACCGUGAGGCAGCUUGAGCCUCUGUAGGUAGUGGCACUAAGGCUGAGAACCUCCCACCUGCUUUGACCUUGGCUUUCUCAUUUGGGAAGAGCCCAGUCUGUGGCUCCAACAGGUGCUUUCUAUAGCCGGGAACCUGACUAGCUACACUUGCCACAGAUGCUCAUGGUGGGAGUGAAAGUGUGUGGUAGAAGUGAGGAACCACGUCAGCCCCGCCCCAUGGAACUGUGUCUUGUCUGUGUCCUACCCAGAGGUGGAUCCCUGGUGCCUAUGACAAGUGUCCUAUGCACUUGGCACAGGUUGAGCCCGAUCUAGAAGAUACUGAAGGCCCCCUGAGGCCCUUUCUCAGCAGUCAAUCAACAACUCUAUUUUAAAAGCUAUUCCAGAUUCCCCAUGGUAUUUCUUCAUCUCCUCCUAAGACCCCCAAGACCCUCCCUGAGGACACAGUGUUGCGGGAUAUUUGAUCACUGAGACUGAGUAAUUAAAUAAAAUCAACAAACCUUAGGUCAAGAGGUCAAACCAGUAACUACUUGAUGUGAAUUCUAGUUGGUCUUAAUAAUAAAAACCCAGAGUCAGAUAUUCGGGGUGAAAGCUGAAAGAUCAGAGAAGCAGAGCAGUCAGCCACUAUUUCUUACCUCUACAAAAUCCUCAGACCCAUGGGGGCAAGAUCCUGUCUCUACGAAUCCUCAGAUUGAAUGCCUUGAGCUCCUGUCUUCUCCCACCUUGUAUUCCUUUCUCCGCCCAGCCAUAUCCCUUCCUGUCUCCACCUCCCUAGUGCUGGGAUUAAAGAUGUGUGAUUCCCAAGUACUGGGAACCACCACUGCCUAACUCGGUUUCUCUUUUAGACUGGAUCAGUCCCCUGUAACCCAGGAUGGCCUUAAACUCACAGAGAUCUAUCUCUGCACCCACCUUCUGAGCCUCAGUUUCUCCUCAGAGGGACUGAGGAUUCUGGUGGCACAGUCACUUUCAAUCUCUUCAUUGUGUUCCCAGGCUGUGUGGAUGGUGGGUCACCCCUUCCCCUGCCCUGACUUCCCAAUAUCCAAGCUCUUUCUCGCCUUCUCUUCUUUACAGUCUGUAUUUUUCCAAAGGCUGGGAAAUAAAAAUGUCUGAUUGAUAAAUGAGUCCAGUUAGCUGGAAGGAUGACGCUGGUCCAUUUUAAUUUCUUGUUUGCUUUUCUCUCUUUCCAAAAUCCAUGCAAUAAAUGUCCAUCAGGUUUGCAAUCAGAAGAAGAAUGCCCAAUAAAAAGCCAACCGGAACCCCAAGGUUGCAUAUUCCAAUUGGCUAAGGACCUAACCUCCAAGCUUCUGUCCUCCUAUGGUUGCUGGACACUACACCCCAGAUGAUGACAUUACAGAGGGUCACCUCUGCCAGGAGCUACAGGCCUGUAGGGACACACAGAGUAGACUUGGCUCUUGUACUUUGGGAGCCCAGUGCCAGCCUCUAAAUCUUCAAGCCGCAGUUAUUCUCUAGGUUGGGGCUCCUACCAGCUGGCACCCGCGCAUACAAGACCCUCCGGUGAGCCACGCAGCUGCCCAACUGCCUGUUUUUAUCUUCACACGGGAGCGCCCGGUCCC